rnacentral:antisense_RNA from 1 species
CUUGAUGGCACCCAGCCACAGCGGACGGCCCUCCGGCCGGUCCUGGCCGUAGGUGGCGAGCAGCGCCUGCGCCUC